GACUUAAGACUGGACAAAUGAGACAAACCAAUACUGACAGAUUUAUCCAUCUGUAAUUAUAGUCCCCACUAUCCUCAGCCAGAAUGGCCAAUGGCCAGGGAUCACGGGAGCUGGAGUCUAACAUUUGGGGACCUAAGGUUGCGGAAAGAUGCCACAGAGCCUGGGAAAAGUACUUCUGUGAGUGUGGUAUGAGGCAAGGAAUCUCAAACAGAGAACUCUCCGCACCUCAAAAAGAAAGCUUCUUCCAGCGCAAGAACAUGAUUUGAUUUGCGGAAAAAGCAGAAACCCUAAAGAUUCCAUCCAACAUGAGUUUUAUAGGAUAUUUCCUGUUUCCCAAAGCAGCUCAGAUCAAUGAAAAAAAGUCAUUCCUUUGGCCGAUGGGCUCAGUGUGCUUUCUCCAACCUGAGGGCAACAGGCAGAUAGAGUCUAGUGGUCUCUCAGGCAGAGGGCAAAGGCAAUCGCCCACAGGAUGGGACCAGAUUGGUCUCCCCCUUGCCUUGAAUUAUUCCUGGGAGGAAAAAGGUGGAGCCUCCCAGCGGCCCUAUGAUUCUUGGCAGAUAGCAGAAACCAGAGCAUGCACUGCUGGGUGAAGUACUUGAAUUGUCAAGGCUUUACAGACCCAAGUUCAAAUCCUCACUCAGACAUGAAGCUCAUUGGGUGAUGCUGGACCACUUACUCUCAUGCUUGAGAAUAUUAAAACAUCCAGAUUUAAAAAGUUUGUUUGCAUUUAGGGCUGACUUUAUGCAAGUGUGAGUUACAUGGCUCAGACAUUUAACGUCUAUUAUGAGUUUCUGUGAAAGCAGGUCUUGGGAGAGCAAGUCUCUGUGAUUAAUCUUUGGCUCAUGCGAGUCCUGCACUCUCUGUCUACACCUGUGCAGGUGGGGGGUCAGGUUUUCUUUUUCUGAAGAUCUACCUUUUCUUCAAGAACAACUUGGACAAGCAGAACACUAAAGCUUUCAGGAAAAUUUAAGUGCUCUUUAGG